UUGGUGACUGUGGAGAGUCACUGUGACAACUGAAUAAGAAGCAUAUCACUAAGCGGAGGAAAAGAAACCAACAGGGAUUCCCCGAGUAGCUGCGAGCGAAACGGGACCGAUCCCAGCACCGAAUCCCCCGUCCUUGCAGGCGGUCGGGAAAUGUGGUGUAUGGGAGGCGACGUUAGGUGUUUGCGACCGGUGAAGUUCCCACUGGGGACAGGGGCUUGUCCCAGAGUGGGCUGCCAGGCCCGUCCUCCGUCGUUGCCGCGCCUGGGAGGUUAGAGGCCUCCCGUGAGUCGGUUUUAGAGAGUGCAGCCCUAAGUGGGUGGUAAACUCCAUCUAAGGCUAAAUACGACCGAGAGACCGAUAGUUCACAAGUACCGUGAGGGAAAGUUGAAAAGAACUUUGAAGAGAGAGUUCAAGAGUACGUGAAACCGCUUAGAGUAAAAUAGGUGAGCACUCCAAGCUGAAAGCGCCGGGAUUUCAGUCUCCAGGACGAUCGCGGCAGCGGCAAUCAGGUGGAAACAGUCACCUUCGGGCACUGUUCCGGCUGCUGGCACGCAGACGCGGUCUCCGGGGUGCGCACUUCCCACCGCCGGUAGGACGCCGCGAUGGACGCGGGUCAAAGGGAACAAGCACGACUUUGAGUCCGGCAGUGGAGGUGACCUGCCCGUCUCUUCGGAGACGGCACGCGGGAGUUAUACCUCGCCGUGCACGAAAAGUUCGUCACCCCGUCCAGGCCCCAUGGGCUUCUCCCGGCUGUCGGGAGGCCCUAACGAUGACGCUCUCCGGAAACGGAGCGGAAAAUGCGCGCUGGCCACGCAUGCUCUACCUGGCUACACCGGGUUGGUCCCUCGGCGGCGGGUUGGCCGGCGAGAAGCCUCUGCGAGCGGGGCUAUUCUCCCGCGGAGGCGCUAUCGUGGUUUGCGGCGAGUAGGUCGGUAACCCACCCGACCCGUCUUGAAACACGGACCAAGGAGUCUAACAUGUGCGCGAGUCAAUGGGUCUCCCGAAACCCAAUGGCGCAAUGAAACGUGAAGGCCCCUAGUGGGCUGCGUUGCGAUCCCGGACCGCACAGGGGUCCGAUAAAGGGCAGCGCCAGGCAACGUGCCCGCUUUCCCAGUUGCUCACACCGUCCGCUGGGCCGGAAGCGAAAGGCACCACACGUUGGCACCCGAAAGAUGGUGAACUAUGCCCGGGCAGGACGAGGCCAGAGGAAACUCUGGUGGAGGUCCGAAGCGAUUCUGACGUGCAAAUCGAUCGUCCGAUCCGGGUAUAGGGGCGAAAGACCAAUCGAACCAUCUAGUAGCUGGCCCUCCCUCCAAAGUUUCCCUCAGGAUAGCUGGCGCUCGAUGGGAGAGCAGUCACACCUGGUAAAGCAAAUGAUUAGACGGCAUUGGGGUUGGGGUCGAAACGUCCUCAACCUAUUCUGAAACUUUCAAUGGGUGUAUGGGAGGCCUUCUGGGUUGAGGCCUCCCGCUGCGAUGAGAGUGCCAAGUGGGCCACUUUUGGUAAGCAGAACUGGUUUGCUGUUGGGUCAAAAACCUCUAAUGCCCGGGGUAUAGGCGCCCAAGUCGGGACGCCUCAUGAGAACCCAUGAAGGGUGUUGGUUGCUUAAGACAGCAGGACGGUGGCCAUGGAAGUCGGAAUCCGCUAAGGAGUGUGUAACAACUCACCUGCCGAAGCAACUAGCCCCGAAAAUGGAUGGCGCUCUAGCGUCGCGCCUAUCCCCGGCCGUCGCUGGCAGAAAAGCACGAAAUGUGGGGGUGCUAAGCCGCGACGAGUAGGAGGGCCGUAGCGGUGUGCGUUGAAGGUGUCGGGCGUGAGCCCGCCUGGAGCCGCCGCUGGUGCAGAUCUUGGUGGUAGUAGCAAAUGCUCAAGAGAACCUUGAGGACUGAAGUGGAGAAGGGUUCCAUGUGAACAGCAGUUGAACAUGGGUCAGUCGGUCCUUAGGGAAAGGAGAAAUCCUUUCAGAAGCGGGCGCGUUUGUGCAGCUCAGUCUGUGAUACGGAUACGCCCCGCUGCAACCAAAAGGGAAUCGGGUUAACAGUCCCGAACCCGGCUACGGAGAUCGGCUCUUCGGAGCCCAGUGCGGCAACGCAAACCAGCUCGGAGACGCCGAUGGGAGCCCCACCGGGAGCCCCGAGUUUUCUUUUCUCUGUAAGGAGAUCGAGUCCCUGGAAUGGGUUCACCCCGAGAUAGGGACGGUGGCUCCGUAGAGCAGUGCUAUUGCGCUGUCCGGUGCGCUCCUGUCGGCCCUUGAAAAUCCGAGUGAGGGAGUGUGAUUUUCGUGCCGGACCGUACCCACAUCCGCAGCAGGUCUCCAAGGUGAACAGCCUCUAGUCGAUAGACCAAUGUAGGUAAGGGAAGUCGGCAAAACGGAUCCGUAACCUUGGGAAAAGGAUUGGUUCUGAGGGCUGAGCCGGUCGGGCUGGGGUCCAGAAGCAGGAACGGCACUGCACCUGGAGGGGGUGAGGCUCGCCGCCGUAAAAAGUGGUGCGGCCGAGCCCGGACCAGCGUCGGGACCUUCCUGUGGAAAGCCACAGCUAUGCAUUUUCCGUGGGCUUCGCGCCUGAGGUUCUUGCUUCGGCCGGCAGAAAACAGCCAAGCUUAGAACUGGCGCGGACCAAGGUAAUCCGACUGUCUAAUUAGAACAAAGCAUUGCGAGGGCCGUUGAUCUGUGCUGACGCAAUGUGAUUUCUGCCCAGUGCUCUGAAUGUAAAAAAAAGAAAUUCAAGAAAACGUGGGUAAGCGGCAGAAGUGAUUAUUACUCUUUUGUGACUAUGAUCUUUUCUUUUGGUUCUUUAAAAAUUUUCUGAGGCCUGCCUACUCUCUGAGUGGGUGCCCAAUGAUGAUGUUAAAAAAUAGCCAAAUGCCUCGUCAUCUAAUUAGUGACGCGCAUGAAUGGAUUAACGAGAUUCCACUGUCCCUAUCUACUGUAACACCACCAGGUUCAAAGGCAGACCACCGAAGAGUACUCUCCACUCCGCCAGGAGAAACAACAAGAAAAGUACCUUGCUUACCAAGGUUGCCAAGGCUGACAUGGCCAUCAUGAAAGCCCUUAUUAAAAUUUAUACAUGCACAGGACAAGAAGAAGGAGUGGCAACACAAAUAGAUACCAUCAUGUCUGAACACUCCAAGUUGAAAAAACUAAUUAUUGAACAAUUCCAAGAAAUUGCCUUCCUAAAAGGAAAGAUCUCCGUGUUGGAGAAAACAACAUCAAAGAACGAGCGUCAACAAAGAGAAAAAGAAACGGAGCUUCAACCUUCUGUCGAGGCAGAAGAACGGAAAUCCUACGCGUUGGUUUUGACUUCCGAAACAAUGCGCAAACAGGAGAUGGCUGAUUUCAUAAAGACGAAGAUUACCCCACUGAAGCAGGUCUCCCGAUGCUACCAUGAGAGAAGGCAGACAGGG
rnacentral:rRNA from 1 species